UGGGGAAUAUUGCACAAUGGACGGAAGUCUGAUGCAGCAACGCCGCGUGCGGGAUGACGGCCUUCGGGUUGUAAACCGCUUUUUCUCAUGACGAAGUUUUUUGACGGUAGUGGGGGAAGAAGCACCGGCUAACUACGUGCCAGCAGCCGCGGUGAUACGUAGGGUGCGAGCGUUGUCCGGAAUUAUUGGGCGUAAAGAGCUUGUAGGCGGUUUGUCGCGUCGGUAGUGCAAACUCAGUGCUUAACGCUGAGCCUGCUGUUGAUACGGGCAGACUAGAGGAAGGUAGGGGAGAAUGGAAUUCCCGGUGGAGCGGUGGAAUGCGCAGAUAUCGGGAGGAACACCGGUGGCGAAGGCGGUUCUCUGGGCCUUUCCUGACGCUGAGAAGCGAAAGCGUGGGGAGCGAACAGG
rnacentral:rRNA from 1 species